AUCAAUUCACGCUAGAAAUCAUUCCUUGCUCUCUGCCGCACCCUUCCACCACCAUUCUCCCAAAUUUCUGCCUAAAAACAACCCUAGCCGCACCACCCAUCAACCCUAAAGCCUUCCAUACCAUUCCCCAUCCAUUCUACACCACAAAUAACCCCAAAAACCUAUCUAAAGUUCUCUGUCGCAGCAAGGAGGAAGGAGGAUUCUUGGAUGCACUUACUGCCACGUUGGAGCAUUCUAGGUGUUUUCUUUCCUUUGAUUUUAAUUUCUAAACUUAUGUAUCAUUGCUUUGCGAGUAUGAGGAACUAAACCCCCCAUUGGUUAGGGGGGGAUUCGAAACCAUG
rnacentral:lncRNA from 1 species